rnacentral:rRNA from 1 species
GUCUACAGCCAUACUAGCCUGAAUGUGCCCAAUCUCAUCUGGUCUCAGAAGCUAAGUAGGGUCAAGCCUGGUUAGUACUUGGAUGGGAAAAAGAUCGUCAGAGGAGACUGCUCAGAGACAAGCAGUUUGGACA